GAUGAAGAACGCAGCGAAAUGCGAUAAGUAGUGUGAAUUGCAGAAUUCAGUGAAUCAUCGAAUCUUUGAACGCACAUUGCGCCCCUUGGUAUUCCAUGGGGCAUGCCUGUUCGAGCGUCAUUUGUACCUUCAAGCUCUGCUUGGUGUUGGGUGUUUGUCUCGCCUCUGCGUGUAGACUCGCCUCAAAACAAUUGGCAGCCGGCGUAUUGAUUUCGGAGCGCAGUACAUCUCGCGCUUUGCACUCAUAACGACGACGUCCAAAAGUACAUUUUUACACUCUUGACCUCGGAUCAGGUAGGGAUACCCACUGAACUUAAGCAUAUCAAUAAGCGGAGGA
rnacentral:misc_RNA from 1 species